UAUUCCACCCUUUCCAUGAAGGACACGUUGGUGCUGCUGUUUGGCGCUCAGCACGAGCACGAGGAGGAGGAGGAGGAGGAGGAGGGAGGGGCGGGGCUUGCCAAGACCCUACACAGCCGAGCUCUUGAUGGUGACGUCUAACCCUGGCAAAACAGUCUCCAUCUACCAGAUUGCAGGACUUGUGAACGAGGCCUUCUUGUCAGCAGUACACCACGUAAUAUCACCUCUGGAUUCAAGGCCACUGGGAUUUUCCCAUAUGACCGAGAUAUUUUUCCUGAGGAAGCGUUUGCACCAUCCAUGGUGUCAGAGCGGCCAAAUCCUGAGUCCUGCUAAAGACAGGGAAGUAACUGUUAGAGAAACUUCCUGUUUAAUGUUGAAAUACGUUUAUCACUGUGUGGUGUUGAUGGCUGUUGAGCUUCAAUCCACCAGCGCAUGCGACCAAUUCACUUCCUUUUUCACUGAUAACAUUUAUACAUUUAGUCAAACAGUGAGUUCCUCCACAAAC
ensembl:lncRNA